AACGAACGCUGGCGGCAUGCCUAACGCAUGCAAGUCGAACGAGACCUUCGGGUCUAGUGGCGCACGGGUGCGUAACGCGUGGGAACCUGCCCUUAGGUUCGGAAUAACUCUCCGAAAGGGGUGCUAAUACCGGAUAAUGUCUUCGGACCAAAGAUUUAUCGCCUUUGGAUGGGCCCGCGUUGGAUUAGCUAGUUGGUAGGGUAAAAGCCUACCAAGGCGACGAUCCAUAGCUGGUCUGAGAGGAUGAUCAGCCACACUGAGACUGAGACACGGCCCAGACUCCUACGGAAGGCAGCAGUGGGGAAUAUUGGACAAUGGGCGAAAGCCUGAUCCAGCAAUGCCGCGUGAGUGAUGAAGGCCUUAGGGUUGUAAAGCUCUUUUACCCGGGAUGAUAAUGACAGUACCGGGAGAAUAAGCUCCGGCUAACUCCGUG
rnacentral:rRNA from 1 species